AGCAGCCGCGGUAAUUCCAGCUCCAAUAGCGUAUAUUAAAGUUGUUGCAGUUAAAAAGCUCGUAGUUGAAUUUCGGGGUCAGUAGGUCGGUCGUGCCACUGGUAUGAACUGGUUUUACUGAUUCCUCCCUCUUGAAGAACUGUAAUGCCAUUAAUUUGGUGUUGC
rnacentral:rRNA from 1 species